rnacentral:rRNA from 1 species
ACGCUCGACACCUACGGGAGCAGCAGUGGGGAAUAUUGCACAAUGGGGGAAACCCUGAUGCAGCGACGCCGCGUGAGCGAAGAAGUAUCUCGGUAUGUAAAGCUCUAUCAGCAGGGAAGAAGAUGACGGUACCUGACUAAGAAGCACCGGCUAAAUACGUGCAGCAGCCGCGGUAAUCUGAGCGGGCUGGCAAGGC